AUACGGAGGGUGCAAGCGUUAUUCGGAAUCACUGGACGUAAAGGACGCGUAGGCGGGUUGGCAAGUCAGAUGUGAAAUCCUACAGCUUAACUGUAGAACUGCAUUUGAAACUGCUAACCUAGAGUAUGGGAGGGGGAGAUGGAAUUAGUGGUGUGGGGGUAAAAUCCGUAGAUAUCACUAGGAAUACCGAAAGCGAAGGCGAUCUCCUGGAACAUAACUGACGCUAAGGCGUGAAAGCGUGGGGAGCAAACAGGAUUAGAAACCCCAGUAGUCC
rnacentral:rRNA from 1 species